rnacentral:misc_RNA from 1 species
UUUUUUUUUUUUUUCAAAUUAAUGAAGUUUGAAAAACAUUUUAAUUGGAAAAUGAUGAUGGCUUUAACGCUUUCUACAGGUUGAUCAUGGCACAGGAUUUCAAAGGUCAAGAACAUUGAAGAAAAGUUCUUAGGUUCUUGAACAGGAAUUGUGAAAUGCACUUUUUUCUUUUGCUGGUAUGUCUAGUUUAUGCAUAUAUAUAUAUGUGUGUGUGUG